rnacentral:lncRNA from 1 species
CACAAAAAGUCUCAAGAUUCACAAGUUUCAUGUUUCAUGUUUAAAUGGAUAGAAAUACAUGUUGCACCCAAAGUGUUAAAAGUAGAAAUGGGUUCGAGUAUACUCACGGUUUACAAGUGGUGACUUGAAGUUCCGAGAGCAAGUUUGGAGAUGAGUUAGUUUGGAGCACCUUGUCCUUCUACACAAGGAAACGUAGGUGUGUGAGUUUGGCGUAUACGGAAGAUUAUAGAUUCGGAGUUUUUAAAAUAUAAAGAAAGUAACAUAGGUGAAAAUAAUCAUCUUGUACACAUAACUCUUGUUCUUGACACCAUUGAAACUCAAAAGAGUUGGUAUGAUUUCAUGGAUUCUAAGAUCCAUUAGAGUCGUAACAAGGGCAUGGUCAUAGAUGAUGUAACGUCCACUUAACAAAUAACUAUUAAGUCAUCAUCAAGUCUUAGUUACUUAGAUGUAUACGUAUAGAAUAACUUAGAUAUUAUAUAGUUUUACAAGUCUUAAGAUUCAAGCAUGAGGUAGGAGAUUAAUGUCUCCAUUUAGGUACCUCUUUGUGUCAUAGAAUACAUACAUGAGGUAGGAAGAACAAGCUUCCAUUUAGGCACCUCUAUUGUUCACCACUACACUUGUUGUUAUAAACAACAAGGAGGGUCAUGAACAUACAAGUAUCAAAGUAUUAACAACAACUAAUCUAUAGUAAAACAUCAAGUAAUGAGUGGAUUCUUAUGAAGGAUAGC